rnacentral:rRNA from 1 species
AGAAUGAACGCUGGCGGCAUGCCUAACACAUGCAAGUCGAACGAAGGCUUCGGCCUUAGUGGCGCACGGGUGCGUAACGCGUGGGAAUCUACCCUUAGGUUCGGAAUAACAGUUGGAAACGACUGCUAAUACCGGAUGAUGACGUAAGUCCAAAGAUUUAUCGCCUAGGGAUGAGCCCGCGUAGGAUUAGCUAGUUGGUGUGGUAAAGGCGCACCAAGGCGACGAUCCUUAGCUGGUCUGAGAGGAUGAUCAGCCACACUGGGACUGAGACACGGCCCAGACUCCUACGGGAGGCAGCAGUGGGGAAUAUUGGACAAUGGGCGAAAGCCUGAUCCAGCAAUGCCGCGUGAGUGAUGAAGGCCUUAGGGUUGUAAAGCUCUUUUACCCGGGAUGAUAAUGACAGUACCGGGAGAAUAAGCUCCGGCUAACUCCGUGCCAGCAGCCGC